rnacentral:rRNA from 1 species
UGCCGUAAUAAUACUAUUGCCAGAGCCAUAUGUCGCCUGGUGUCCCACUGAAGCUAAGUGGGAUUGAGCGUGGCCAGUACCUGGAUGGGAGACCUGGGGAAAACUAAGUUUGCUGCUG